GGGUCAGUAGCUCAGCUGGUUAGAGCACUCGGCUGAUAACCGAGAGGUCACACGUUCGAGUCGUGUCUGACCCA
rnacentral:tRNA from 1 species